rnacentral:lncRNA from 1 species
GGGCUCGUCUAGCAAAGAUCAACACAAACAAUGUUGUUGACGCCUCAGCUGAUACCAUAGUUCUGUACCCGGAGAACGGAGGCAACCUGCACUGCUUCACGGCGCUGACCCCUUGCGCUGUUCUCGACGUCAUGGGACCCCCUUACAGCAGCGCUGCUGGCAGGGACUGUGCGUACUACAGCGAGACCCCCUUCUCAAACACAGCUGGUGAGUGUUUUCUUCCUGUCUCAAAUUCAGUUUGUGAAGAACAUCUUGAUGCUUAGUUUCUUCUGCGCACUGACGAAAGCGUCCUCUGGUUUCAGGUGUGGCUGACGUGCGGUACUCCUGGCUCAAGGAGAUUCCCAAUACCUUCCGGAUGAAGGGCGUAACGAUGCCGCGGGACUUCGUCGUCUAGGAACCUGCAUGCUGAAGGGCGCUCCCGCCGUCUAGCUUCUUUGUGUAGAUAACAGUUGUAACCUGCGAAAGGCAGGUAGUCAGUCAGUUGUCAGUCGGUCCAACCUAGCUCUCAGGCUAGCAAACUCUUUUUUUUUACCCUUACCCGUUCGUCGGGGUUGAAACUAUCUCAUGUCGUCUGUCAUUAUCUUGUCUUGUGUUGCGAUUUUCUUCGUUCUGGCGUGCGGGGGCAUGGUCGCUCUUUCUUGUUUCCGUGUUGUACGGGGCAGGCGUGCUGUUUGUGCAGCGGGAAUGUUUUUGAUGGUGACCAUGUACCCAAUCAACCCAGAGCGCUGUUGAAAUACCAGAGUGUCGUUUGUUUCACCAUUGUUUCUUUCUUUAUGUGGUUGGUUUGAGUGUUUA